CGUCUAUAUUUUAAAGAAAGAAAAACAAACAAACAAACAGCAAAACAUGACAUUAUUUCAGGACACCUUUCUCAUGAAAUCCACCACCCUUGAGCAGCAUUUUACAAGUAGUACUAGAGAAUUAUUACUGUAAUAGCUAAUGAACCAUCAAAAUAUUCCACAUCUAAAGAUGGCAUCAUUAUGAACAAAUUAUUCUAUGGUCACUCUUAAGAAUGAAUUAUUUUCAAAAUUCUAGUCCUGAACAGCAGGUUCAUUUGGGUAAAGAAAACACAUACUCCAUUUUCAUAAGGAUAGAAAAAUGCCUUCUAAUUCUUCAAAAUGCUUGAAAAAAAUACUACUUAAAAGCCAGAGAUAAACUCUUCUGUAAAAAGGACAAAAAAGUAAAGUAGAAAAAUGGAUUACAGAAAUGUUUAAACACAGAUUUGCUGAGGAUGGUGAGCACAACCAUCGUAUGAGCAUAAGAUGGAAACAAACAAGUUCAUUACAGUUCACAAGAAACUACGAGACCAAAUAACACAUUCAAUUUUUGGUGAAAGUAAUUUAUCAGCAGGAAUUCAACAGAAUUAAUGCAGACUUAGGUACCAUGAAAGCCAGAAGUUGGUAACUUCUUCACCAGUUAAUGCUUACACAAAAGAGCUACCCAACCAUGUGCUCGAUAGUGCAGCUAUGGGGAAGGGUAUUUCUGAAUACAGAUCCUGGUGUUUACAUACAUUGUAGGCACAAGAUUACAUUUUUUAAAAAGAAUGGGCGCUUGGGAGCAUUUUUCAUUAAAGGAAAGGAGAGAAGGAAAGUCAAAUAUUUUGGCUAUUGCUGGGAACCUCCCCAGCAACCCCACAAGUGCUAUGCAAACAUGGAAAAAUGUUAUAUUCAAGACAAAAGAAAUCAUAAAUGCCAUUACUUAAUCUGUAACCCCUGAUAGAUAGAAACAUGCAGAGAGAUAUAAUAAGGUAAACUAAGAAACAAAUCAGUGAGCCUCAACCUGCAGCUAUUUAUAAAAGCAGUUUGUAAAGUCUCCCCAAAAGCAUAAACACAUAACUUUGUUUUUUUUUUUAAUUAUGUGUCACUCAUCAUGCGCUUCACUGAUUAUCAUUCUACUUGUCUUUUGAGAACAUCUUUACCUAUAGGCCCCAAAGAGUCCUAAGCUGAGACAAUUUUCUAAUAAGGAUUCUGUAACACCUUUAUUAUUCCUUAUAACAGUCCCCAUCAGGUCCAUAAGCACGUGAUGCUGCCUUUCGGCAAUAACCAGUAGGGUGGAUGUACAGACUUUUGGGUUAACCUUUACUUACCUGUCCAAAGUUUUCCUCAUCUAUGCAAAACAUGAGAUCCAGCUCUGUAGGGUCAUUUUCCAGGAUCCACUUCAAAGAGUUGUAGUAUUCACUAUCCUACAGGAGAUUGAAAUUAAGCGACGUUGGAAUAUGUAAACAUUAAACAUGCAAUUUAAUUUUAAAAUAAACAAAUAAAAACAUCUAAAAUAAGAACUCUGAAGGGGUUCGAAGGAUGGGAACCUUUUUAUUUGUAUAGCUACUGUAAAGCAGGGUAAGAUGAAUUACCUUAUUCAUUUGCAUUUUUUAGAUGCUAUAUUUUUAGAUUUUUGUAACUCUCCUUAAUUGACUUGUAACUUUGUUAUUAUACAAUAGAUUGACUGUACAAAUUGAUUAGAGAAUGUCUUCUAGAUAGAACUGUUCUUCUCAACACUAUUUCUGUACCGCUUCAUUACAUCAACAAUAUAUUAUAGAAGUACUGAUUAUAUUGUUAUUGAAAGCUCUUGAAAUUUGCUGAAUAAAAAAUCCCCUCUAAUUUCCUAAACAGGUUGUAUCUUUAUUAUGUAGAAAACAUUAAGACAUGAAGAGUAUCAUCCUACUAACUUCAAGGAAACCUUUUACAUUUAGCUAUUGUAUACAUCUGAAGUGUACUGUAUUUCAGUACUGGUGCAGUGCACAUGUCUAGAUUGGGCAUCUGCGUGAUCCUGCUUCCUGUGCUCCUUCAUUCUAAAAUGCAAAGUUAGAGAUUACUAACUCAUAAAGCAGUUAUUUUUUCUCCCAGGGAGCAAUGAACACAAAAGUACUUGAUUGUAGUUCAUGUUGAAGGAGUGGAAGUAGAUGAAGUGCAGAGAACAAAACUAAAGCCUAUACCAGGGCAUAAGUUGUGCUGCAUUCAUUGUCUCUUUUUGGGAAAACCGUUGAUCAUUUGGCAACCCCUUCUUCCUCUACUGCGGACAACUUCCCAUGCUACCAGGUCAGAACUAUGUCCGUGUCCACCUCAUCCUGCUCCACAGUAUGAAAAGAAGGUAAAAAAGAAGAGGGGAAAUGAAGAAGGGAAAAGCAGGGCCUAUUGCUAGUGUUUCUCACAACAGGGAGACAGCUGACUCAGUGGAAAAUGCGAAAACCCAACUGCGCAUCAUUCUGUAUUUCAUCUCUUAUUGGCCUAUUCACGCCUCUUCUCUCUCAAACCUAACUGCUCUAAGUACACUGGUCCUGAAACUGCUGUUGUGGCAGGGAAAAUUUGUUUUAUUAAACAAAUAAAUACAUACCAUUCUCAAGUUCUUAAAAUCAUAACCUCGUGUUUUCCAUCAUGCACUUUACUGGAAUUAUUAGCUCUUAUAAAGUUUCCCAGAUGAAAAAAACUCAAAUAAUUACUAAUGCUGAGAAGUUUCAAAUGUUAUCUUACCACUGACUCCAUGUCUUUUAGAGUUAUUGGUUUCCCCAACAUCAUCUUGUAAAAAGGUCUGAUGAAGAAGCCUAAAACAGAGGGAAAAGAGUUACCUCUGCUGUUCUGCAUUUUCACCUUACAUAAAGAUAUGACGGCUAAAGGAUGAAACAUCAUGCUAUUUCUUAGUGCGCCUGUGGGAAAGAAAUAUCCUGCAAGGAACAGUGCUGUAACUGCUUAAGUUAACACAGCAGGCUCAUUUUUUAUUUAGACUUGGCAAGCCCAAUUUUUCAAUUACAAGAAUUAUGCCAAUGUUAGUUACAUGGUAGAGAGACACUAAAGAUGGAGAACUGAGCUCAAGGUACUCUAAUCCACUUAAAAUUGCCAUUCUUCUCUCAAAGGAGAUGCUAGAAAAACAGGAAUAUGAGCUUCCUCUGUCUGUUGUUGUGCUGCAUUGUCUCUAAAUAAAAUAUAGGCAGUUUAUAAUGGUUGCUUGCUUGGUUAUUCUGGGAUUCCAAAGUUGAGCAAAAAUUUUAUUUACUCGUUUAAUCAAUUGUUUUAUUUACUUGUUCAAUCAAUGAGAAAUAAUUUUAUAGAAAAAUGCAUGCUGCAAUUGACAAGCAACUGCUUUGGCUUCAGCUGGUUUACAUUUAAGUGGCAGAUACAAAUUUAGUGAUUUUCCGUCAGGAUAGAGAUUAUUUGGAAAUGGAGAUUCUCUAGGGCUAACAAGAGCGGAGAAAAGAGAAAAACUUUAUAUGAACCAUAUUUGUUGAGCAAGACACUAUCAUUUUACCAAAAACACCAUUCAAAACAGGAAUGCAAUUGCCAAAGCUUCCAGUUCCAUUACUUUCUCUUAGACUUUGUUUCAAGAUAUGCUACAUUCUAAAGCAUAUGAAUUAUUGAAGUGAUUUAUUUCAUUUAAAAAAAAAUAAUCAGUAAGAAUAGCUUAGCCAUACAGUAUAGUAACUCACCAUCUAAUAGCUUCCCAUGAUAUACUGCCAGACCAGCAACCCGUCCAAUAAAUGUAAAAUACGAAAGAUGAUCUUCAUUACAAAGACCUGAAUUAGGAUUAAUCUGAAG